AGCGGCAGACGGGUGAGUAACGCGUGGGAACGUACCUUUUGGUUCGGAACAACACAGGGAAACUUGUGCUAAUACCGGAUAAGCCCUUACGGGGAAAGAUUUAUCGCCGAAAGAUCGGCCCGCGUCUGAUUAGCUAGUUGGUGAGGUAACGGCUCACCAAGGCGACGAUCAGUAGCUGGUCUGAGAGGAUGAUCAGCCACAUUGGGACUGAGACACGGCCCAAACUCCUACGGGAGGCAGCAGUGGGGAAUAUUGGACAAUGGGCGCAAGCCUGAUCCAGCCAUGCCGCGUGAGUGAUGAAGGCCCUAGGGUUGUAAAGCUCUUUUGUGCGGGAAGAUAAUGACGGUACCGCAAGAAUAAGCCCCGGCUAACUUCGUGCCAGCAGCCGCGGUAAUACGAAGGGGGCUAGCGUUGCUCGGAAUCACUGGGCGUAAAGGGUGCGUAGGCGGGUCUUUAAGUCAGGGGUGAAAUCCUGGAGCUCAACUCCAGAACUGCCUUUGA
rnacentral:rRNA from 1 species